rnacentral:rRNA from 1 species
AACGUAGGAGGCGAGCGUUAUCCGGAGUUAUUGGGCGUAAAGAGCUCGUAGGCGGCUUGUCACGUCGGGUGUGAAAGCCCGGGGCUUAACCCCGGGUCUGCAUUCGAUACGGGCUAGCUAGAGUGUGGUAGGGGAGAUCGGAAUUCCUGGUGUAGCGGUGAAAUGCGCAGAUAUCAGGAGGAACACCGGUGGCGAAGGCGGAUCUCUGGGCCAUUACUGACGCUGAGGAGCGAAAGCGUGGGGAGCGAACAGG